UGGAUUAUUGAGUUUCAAACUGGAACCUUC
rnacentral:piRNA from 1 species